rnacentral:rRNA from 1 species
CCAGACAGCCAGGAUGUUGGCUUAGAAGCAGCCAUCAUUUAAAGAAAGCGUAAUAGCUCACUGGUCGAGUCGGCCUGCGCGGAAGAUGUAACGGGGCUAAACCAUGCACCGAAGCUGCGGCAGCGACACUAGGUGUUGUUGGGUAGGGGAGCGUUCUGUAAGCCUGUGAAGGUGUGUCGUGAGGCAUGCUGGAGGUAUCAGAAGUGCGAAUGCUGACAUAAGUAACGAUAAAGCGGGUGAAAAGCCCGCUCGCCGGAAGACCAAGGGUUCCUGUCCAACGUUAAUCGGGGCAGGGUGAGUCGACCCCUAAGGCGAGGCCGAAAGGCGUAGUCGAUGGGAAACGGGUUAAUAUUCCCGUACUUGGUGUUACUGCGAAGGGGGGACGGAGAAGGCUAUGUUGGCCGGGCGACGGUUGUCCCGGUUUAAGCGUGUAGG